rnacentral:tRNA from 1 species
GCCGGGGUGGCGGAACGGUAGACGUGCAGGUCUCAAAAACCUGUGGGAGCAAUCCCGUGAGAGUUCGAAUCUCUCCCCCGGCA